rnacentral:rRNA from 1 species
UACGUAGGGUCCGAGCGUUGUCCGGAAUUACUGGGCGUAAAGAGCUCGUAGGUGGUUUGUCGCGUUGUUCGUGAAAACUCACAGCUCAACUGUGGGCGUGCGGGCGAUACGGGCAGACUAGAGUACUGCAGGGGAGACUGGAAUUCCUGGUGUAGCGGUGGAAUGCGCAGAUAUCAGGAGGAACACCGGUGGCGAAGGCGGGUCUCUGGGGCAGUAACUGACGCUGAGGAGCGAAAGCGUGGGGAGCGAACAGG